rnacentral:rRNA from 1 species
GGUGGGUAGUUUGACUGGGGCGGUCUCCUCCCAAAGCGUAACGGAGGAGCACGAAGGUUAGCUAAUCCUGGUCGGACAUCAGGAGGUUAGUGCAAUGGCAUAAGCUAGCUUGACUGCGAGCGUGACGGCGCGAGCAGGUGCGAAAGCAGGUCAUAGUGAUCCGGUGGUUCUGAAUGGAAGGGCCAUCGCUCAACGGAUAAAAGGUACUCCGGGGAUAACAGGCUGAUACCGCCCAAGAGUUCAUAUCGACGGCGGUGUUUGGCACCUCGAUGUCGGCUCAUCACAUCCUGGGGCUGAAGUAGGUCCCAAGGGUAUGGCUGUUCGCCAUUUAAAGUGGUACGCGAGCUGGGUUUAGAACGUCGUGAGACAGUUCGGUCCCUAUCUGCCGUGGGCGCUGGAGAAUUGAGGGGGGCUGCUCCUAGUACGAGAGGACCGGAGUGGACGCAUCACUGGUGUUCGGGUUGUCAUGCCAAUGGCACUGCCCGGUAGCUAAAUGCGGAAGAGAUAAGUGCUGAAAGCAUCUAAGCACGAAACUUGCCCCGAGAUGAGUUCUCCCUGAGACUU